UACGAAGGGGGCUAGCGUUGCUCGGAAUCACUGGGCGUAAAGGGUGCGUAGGCGGGUUUUUAAGUCAGAGGUGAAAUCCUGGAGCUCAACUCCAGAACUGCCUUUGAUACUGAAAGUCUUGAGUAUGGGAGAGGUGAGUGGAACUGCGGGUGUAGAGGUGAAAUUCGUAGAUAUUCGCAAGAACACCAGUGGCGAAGGCGGCUCACUGGCCCAUUACUGACGCUGAGGCACGAAAGCGUGGGGAGCAAACAGG
rnacentral:rRNA from 1 species